GAUAAACGCUGGCGGCGUGCCUAAAACAUGCAAGUCGAACGGUCCUUUCGGGGACAGUGGCGGACGGCUGAGUAACACGUGGGUGACCUGCCCUCGAGCGGGGGAUAACUGCCCGAAAGGGUGGCUAAUACCGCAGACAUCGCGGCUUCGGUGUCGUGAUUGAACUUACGGGGUUCGGGGAGGGGCCCGCGGUCGAUUAGCUGGUUGGUGGGGUAACGGCCUACCAAGGCUGCGAUCGAUAGCUGGUCUGAGAGGAUGAUCAGCCAGACUGGGACUGCGAACGGCCCAGACUCCUACGGGAGGCAGCAGUUAGGAAUUUUGGGCAAUGGGCGAAAGCCUGACCCAGCAACGCCGCGUGGGUGAUGAAGGCCUUCGGGUCGUAAAGCCCUUUUCCCGGGGAAGAUGAUGACGGUACCCGGGGAAUCAGCCCCGGCUAACUACGUGCCAGCAGCCGCAGUAAGAC
rnacentral:rRNA from 1 species